AAAGUUGAUAAAGGGAUCGAAUUGAUAAUAUGUAUGGAUACGAAUAUUUUAUGCCUCGAAAUACGUGGAAGUUGAUGGUCCAUCCAAGCAUCCUGUGGCCUAGAACCCUCUCUGAAAAGGUACUCCUUUUUCUUCUCUCCUCUUUCUUUGGUUCCCUUCAUUCUGCUCGGCUCAUCUUUUCUUCAUUGACCACUUCCGCGUCACCUUUGUCCUCUUCAUCCCCGGCGGAGCUCUCAAAUAACACGGUCCUCCCUGCAAUUAUCCUCCGGGCAGUUUUCUGCUUAAACGCCUCCUACGAAAAACGAAAAAAAAAAAAAAGAAUGGUGGAAGAAGGUGAAACAAAAAUGUCGGAGGCGUGUAUCCUAAAGAUGAUCCUUCACGUAUCUCUUUCUUUCUAAACUCAUUCUAUUAUAUUAUCCUCUUCGUUAUAUCUUCUAUAACUGUUGCCGAACAAAAUAUUCUCGCUUUGUCGCAUCUUGCGUCGCAUUUUAUGCUUCGUUGAAUUUACAGAGAUAUUCUAUUCUAUUAUUUUGUAGCAAUGUAAAAGCGUACAAAUUUACAAAUACCAUUUUACCGCUGCAAAUGCUAAAAGCAUCUUUAUAUCCCAUCUACAAUUCUCUGUCGUAACAAAUAAAUUCUCUU